rnacentral:rRNA from 1 species
AACGAACGCUGGCGGCAUGCCUAACACAUGCGAGUCGAACGAGACCUUCGGGUCUAGUGGCGCACGGGUGCGUAACGCGUGGGAACCUGCCCUUAGGUUCGGAGUAACUCCCCGAAAGGGGUGCUGAUACCGGAUAAUGUCUUCGGACCAAAGAUUUAUCGCCUUUGGAUGGGCCCGCGUUGGAUUAGCUAGUUGGUAGGGUAAAAGCCUACCAAGGCGACGAUCCAUAGCUGGUCUGAGAGGAUGAUCAGCCACACUGGGACUGAGACACGGCCCAGACUCCUACGGGAGGCAGCAGUGGGGAAUAUUGGACAAUGGGCGAAAGCCUGAUCCAGCAAUGCCGCGUGAGUGAUGAAGGCCUUAGGGUUGUAAAGCUCUUUUACCCGGGAUGAUAAUGACAGUACCGGGAGAAUAAGCUCCGGCUAACUCCGU